rnacentral:lncRNA from 1 species
AACAGACCAGGAAGGCAGCAGCCCUGCCCACCAGGAGCCAGCUAUCACAGACACUGGCAGCUGGCUCAGCUCUGCAGCCUCUACAGGAAGCUGGUUUUGAAGAAUCCAGAUGAAAAUGUUGUCUUCUCCCCAUUCAGCAUCUCAGCGGCCUUGGCCCUGCUGUCCCUGGGAGCAAAGAGCAACACCCUGAAGGAAAUCCUAGAAGGUCUCAAGUUCAACCUCACAGAGACCCCUGAACCAGACAUCCACCAGGGCUUUAGGUACUUGCUAGACUUCUCAGUCAGCCAGGGGACCAGGUACAGAUCAGCACAGGCAGUGCCCUGUUUAUUGAAAAGCACCUACAGAUCCUGGCAGAGUUCAAGGAGAAGGCAAGGGCUCUGUACCAGGCUGAGGCCUUCACAGCAGAUUUCCUGCAGCCUCGCCAGGCCACAAAGCUCAUCAAUGACUAUGUGAGCAAUCAGACCCAGGGGAAGAUCAAGGAACUCAUCUCAGACCUGGAUAAGAGCACGUUGAUGGUGCUGGUGAAUUACAUCUACUUUAAAGGCAAAUGGAAGAUGCCCUUUGACCCCCAUGACACAUUUAAUUCCGUGUUCUACUUGGAUGAGAAGAGGUCUGUGAAUGUGUCCAUGAUGAAAAUUGAGGAAUUGACCACACCCUACUUCCGGGAUGAUGAGCUGUCCUGCACUGUGGUGGAGCUGAAGUACACCGGAAAUGCAAGUGCUAUGUUCAUCCUCCCUGACCAGGGCAGGAUGCAGCAGGUCGAAGCCAGCUUACAACCAGAGACCCUGAGGAAGUGGAAGAACUCUCUGAAGCCCAGGAGGAUAGAUGAGCUCCACCUGCCCAAGUUCUCCAUCUCCAUGGACAACAGCCUGGAGCACAUCCUUCCUGAGCUGGGCAUCAGGGAGCUCUUCUCCACACAGGCUGACCUGUCUGCAAUCACAGGAACCAAGGACCUGAGAGUCUCUCAGGUGGUCCACAAGGCUGUGCUGGAUGUGGCUGAGACAGGCACAGAGGCAGCUGCUGCCACAGGGGUCAAAUUAAUUCUAUGUUGUGAAAAAAUCUAUUCUAUGACAAUAUA